rnacentral:tRNA from 1 species
AGCCCCUUAGUCUAGUGGUCAAGGACGCGAGCCUUUGGCGCUCGAAACCCCGGUUCAAAUCCGGGAGGGGCUA